UUUUGUAAAAUUUCUAAUUAUCUUGAUGCUUGAUAGUAGUUUUUUGACUUUAUAAUAUGUAGAAUCCUUACAAGUUUUAAAACCUUAUAUUAAGUGUGUCUUUUCAUUUGUUGAAAUGCUCUAUACUGGUCUCUCAGUCUUUUUGAGUGGGUCACAGGUCUUAUUUGUCAGUUUUUUUUGUAAGAUGUUUUAAUGGCCCUGUUGUUAUAACUCAUGUUAGUAAAGGGCAAGUACUCUAUAUGGGUGUCUCUGUCUUUAUGAGUUGGUCUCUCAGUGUUUAUGAUGUUGUUAUAACUCUUAUAAGUAAGGGGAGCACAAUAAUUUACUGUAUCAAGGACAUCUUAAACAAGGGUUUCAACCCUGUGUUCAAGAGUUUUGGAAGGAAAUCAAUGGAAUGAGAGGGGUAGGGGGAACGUGAAGAUCCUGAAUCACAAGGAAAGUGGAAGGAUCGUGCUGGUCAUGCGGCAGUCAGCAAAAUAUGUGGAGUAUUUGAUGUAUUGAUUGAAGCAUAGCUUGACAACGUAUCCAUAUUUCUUCAAGAUCUUGGGGCACCAUUCCCUCCUAAUUAUAAGGAUGUGGUCAAGACUAUUUUCAAGUGCUUAUUCUGUAUCUAUGCACAUAUUUACAACUCACACUUCCAGAAGAUUGAAGCCUUAAAUAAGAAGUUCACUUACAUACUUGCUUUAAGCGUUUCAUUCUGUUUACAUGUUAAGGGGAGCACAAUAAUUUACUGUAUCAAGGACAUCUUAAACAAGGGUUUCAACCCUGUGUUCAAGAGUUUUGGAAGGAAAUCAAUGGAAUGAGAGGGGUAGGGGGGACGUGAAGAUCCUGAAUCACAAGGAAAGUGGAAGGAUCGUGCUGGUCAUGCGGCAGUCAGCAAAAUAUGUGGAGUAUUUGAUGUAUUGAUUGAAGCAUAGCUUGACAACGUAUCCAUAUUUCUUCAAGAUCUUGGGGCACCAUUCCCUCCUAAUUAUAAGGAUGUGGUCAAGACUAUUUUCAAGUGCUUAUUCUGUAUCUAUGCACAUAUUUACAACUCACACUUCCAGAAGAUUGAAGCCUUAAAUAAGAAGUUCGCUUACAUACUUGCUUUAAGCGUUUCAUUCUGUUUACAUGUGUAAGUCUUUCAGCUUAUUUCCUUUCCCUUAAGUUUUUAACUUGUUUGAUUAAAUUGCUUCUAUAUCUGUUACCUCUUUUUGUCUCAACCUUCAUUUCUGGAGAUGCUUUUGUACUUUCUUGUGACUGAAUUGCCCCUGUUUGUUCUGUGCUUCAAGCUUAUCUAGCUCAUUCUGCAGCCCUAAGCAUAACCAAUGAGUCCUUUUAGUAGUAUGCGCAAUUGCUUUUACUGUUUUUUUAUAAAUCAGUAUUUUUUUUUUUUUUAUAUUGUUGGACUUUAGCACCCACAAUAGAAUUUUAGAAUGUUGUCCUUAUGGGAGUCUCUGUUGUUAUUCUCUGCUUUUAUGAAAAGAUAGAGUAGCUACUAGAUUUCAAGAAGGAAAGCAUUUUUUGCUUGAUAUGAUUAUAUUUUUAAAACAAUGGCAAAAACUGUUUUUUAUAAACUUUUCAAAAUUUUGAACUUUUCAAAAUAUUUAACAUCAAAUAUUUUAUUGACCAACUAAACUUAGUUUCUUAAAUUUUUAUAAAUUUUAGAAACUUUGUGUAAAUUUUUGACAAUUCUUAGUUAUUUUGACAGAAACAUUCAUGUUUUCUAAAAUUUACAAUUCAUAUAGAUUUUACACCUUGA